UUUCCACGGUCUCCGUGACGCAGCUAACGCAUUAAGUUCCCCGCCUGGGGAGUACGGCCGCAAGGCUAAAACUCAAAGGAAUUGACGGGGACCCGCACAAGCGGCGGAGCAUGCGGAUUAAUUCGAUGCAACGCGAAGAACCUUACCAAGGCUUGACAUAUAGAGGAAAGGGCUGGAAACAGUCCCCCCGCAAGGUCUCUAUACAGGUGGUGCAUGGUUGUCGUCAGCUCGUGUCGUGAGAUGUUGGGUUAAGUCCCGCAACGAGCGCAACCCUCGUUCUAUGUUGCCAGCACGUAAUGGUGGGAACUCAUGGGAUACUGCCGGGGUCAACUCGGAGGAAGGUGGGGAUGACGUCAAAUCAUCAUGCCCCUUAUGUCUUGGGCUUCACGCAUGCUACAAUGGCCGGUACAAAGGGCUGCAAUACCGUGAGGUGGAGCGAAUCCCAAAAAGCCGGUCCCAGUUCGGAUUGAGGUCUGCAACUCGACCUCAUGAAGUCGGAGUCGCUAGUAAUCGCAGAUCAGCAACGCUGCGGUGAAUACGUUCCCGGGUCUUGUACACACCGCCCGUCAAGUCAUGAAAGUCGGUAACACCUGAAGCCGGUGGCCUAACCC
rnacentral:rRNA from 4 species